AAAAGCAGACUGGAGGAAUUGAGUGGCUUCCAUUAGAGGUUUUGCAGCAUUUUCCAGAGAGGAGGGAGGAGGACAAAAUGGAUUAAGAUUGAGAAAUGCACAGAAGUACAAAUUAUUAUUAUUAGUUGUAGUAUUAUAAAUACAGGGCGAAAUUAAUAGAAGGCAAUGCGACUGACGUCUGGAAAGGAUGGAGGGAGGGUGGAGGGGUGGUGGUUGGGGGGACCCUAGUGCUGCAUAUGAAUGGGUGCCGCUCAAAUUCCCAGGGAUUAUUGGAGGGAAAAAAGAAGAGGACGGAAACACGGGGUCCGCGGUUCCUUGGAUCGGGGCAAAAUGGGAAUCCAUGCUUAUGAUGUUAGAAGCGUUCUGCAUCCUAAACUUUAUGAUCUAAAAGGUUCCGGAAUCAUCGUCAUCACAGGACACAUUUACGGCAUUGUCCUUUGUGGGUCUUUUUGCGGUCUGGGCUUGCUGUUCCUAAGGAAGUAGCCAGGAAGCCCUUACCCCAAAAAGUAUCUUCAGUGGAUUCUGGCAUCUGCAUUGGCUUUUCCUCUCUUGCUGAUGGAAUUUGCCACUGAAAUUCUCUGUGAUGGAAACUCAUCAAAGGCUUGGCAAAAAGGGGCACCACUUUUAGUUAUCUGUAAAAUGCUGUGAAGGGAUUUUGAAGGAAAAAUGCCAGAGGUUUCAAUGACUGGUGUGGCAGAAAAUUUUAGUCUGUGUUGGAAAAUCCCUGUAAAUAUCACCUGAUUAAUCUAAAAAACAAUCAAGUCAGCUGUUAUUACAUCACCUUAAGGUUUAAAAGUGCAAAGCUAACAAUCCUGUAGUGAAAACUAAUCAAUUUUUGGCGUGCAAAAUCAGGUGGGACUCAGAUUGUACAUUGAUCAGUUAAUUACUUGCCUUUUUUAUGGUGCAGUUUGGUAAAAUCUAAAUUUCUUUAUUAUCUAAAAAGGUCAAAUAAUUUCAUUUUUUAAGAAAGAUGUCUGAUUCCUAUGAAUUCACUUCAAAGCUCUUGCUGCAAGUGUCUAUGUAUUUUCAUUUUUUGGGACCAAAACCCUCUUUUAUACACAAAUAAUGCUCUACUCCUAACCAUACGUGGCCUGACAUUCAUAGAACCACCUAUUGAAAGUGCGUAGACCGGAUGCACCCGCUGAAUGAAUAAUCUGAGAGAAAAUGGAUGUGUAGCUUCAAGCCUUUGAUGACCUACGUGUUACAUAAACGUGAUUAUUCCCCCAAACCCAUGAACUCCCACAAUGGAGUUUAUGUACAUCAAUACCAGAGGCAUUUUCGUGCCCUGACGAAGACGAAGACGUCAUUGCUCAGUGUUGUGUUCACCAAAGAGGGUCUUUGCUGCACAGAAACCAUCAGACAUGUAGUUUUAAGUUACAUUAGUGACAUACUUUUGUCUUUUUUUUCUUGAGUUUCUAGUCAAUACAGAAAAUUUCUAGAGCUGCUUUUUAGUUUAGUGUGCUUUUUAGUAUUGCUCUGCCAAACAAUGAAUACUUGUAUGCAAAUCUUCAUUUUACAAAGAAAUCUUUAACCAAAUGAGGUCAGCGUUUGUUUUUUUUACUGGAUUGCUCCAUUUGUGCAUUUUUUUAUAAACUGUAACGAAACCAUAAACAAGAUAUUUUGCUCCAAAAAGAAGCAAAUGUGUGAAAAGUAAAGCCUAAAAAUGCAACUCUACACACACCGUCAACAUCUUCCUCAUUCUUCCGUUUUUUGUGGUCUUAAGGAGCUGCAUCCACCUGUCCCAUGCUAAAUCAGCCAUACUUCCUCCCCCAGUGGUUGAUAUAAAAAAAGAUUCAGCAGGUUUUUAGUAUGAUUGCCCCCUCCUACACCCAUCAAGUUAGCAAACAAGUCCCUUUACCGUUGUGUAGAUAGGAAGUAGAUAUUCCCAGUUAAACUGUGGCACAAUUUGUGUGUCACAUGUUGCCCUAGGAAAUAGGGCAGUGCCUCAUCCCUGUCAUCAGGCAGGCAUGCGGGGCAGUGGAUGUAGUUUUGCUCCUCUUCUGCUUGUAAUAGAGUAAAUUAUUGGAAAAAAAGAUUGAAACUUAAUGGUCUCAAUAUUUAAGUCCAUAUUGAAUUUAUGGGUGUUGACCAAACAAUAAUCUUCUUUCAAUAAAUUGCUUUUAUUGUAUGAUUUUAUGCCUAAAUGCUUCAUGUUAGUGACAAUUUCUUGAUUACACAUGAAAAAAUUUGUAAGAUUUCCCUUCUGAUUCAUGACAAAUAAAGAUUGAUUGUACAAAAAAGUCAAAGAGAUUUUAUUUCACCAAAAAAAUGUAAAAGAAAAUAAGUACAAUUCCUUUAUAUUUGGAAAAAUAUGAAACCUAUUGACGAGAUCGUUUAAGGUUUGACAGCAAGUUACUGAAAAAAGAUGCGCAAUGCAAUGAUGGGAACUGAGCAUCUAAAACUGCAGUGUCUCCAACGGUAAAUCUUUGGGUGAGCAUAGCCCUCUAGAGGUAUUUUUAGGAACCGCAGCUUAUAAUGUGCAAGACUGCGCCACUGCAAAAAGAAACAUGGUCAUGAAGCAGAAUAACAACAUCCAGGCCUCUGUUAAGUUUACAGCUUCCGACUGAAAACAGAAUGUUAUUGGUAACAGAUGUUGGUCCCCUUCAUGUGACGCAUGCGGCCCCAAAGAUUACGGUAAAGCAUCGCUUGUCUGUUAGUGAUUAUAUGCUUGGUCAGUCUGAGAAAAUACAAAUUUUUUGGGGGUAACUUUUUUUCCCCCUUCUGUUUUACAGUUCACUUAGCUCAGCUGUGCAUUCACUUGUUUUUUUUUACGUUGCUUAUUUUUCUUGCAUGUGAAAAUAAAACCCGUUCAAGCACA